rnacentral:rRNA from 1 species
CAAAGGCAUGGUCCUGACCUUAUUAUCAGCUUUAACUCAACUUACACAUGCAAGUAUCCGCACCCCCGUGAGUACGCCCUCGACCCCCCGCCCGGGGAUCAGGAGCGAGCAUCAGGCACACAAAUCCUAGCCCAAGACGCCCAGCCAAGCCACACCCCCAAGGGAAUUCAGCAGUGAUAAACAUUAAGCCAUGAGUGAAAACUCGACUCAGUCAGGGUUAACAGGGCCGGUAAAACUCGUGCCAGCUACCGCGGUUAUACGAGGAGGCCCCAGUAA